GACGAACGCUGACGGUGUGCUUUAGACAUGCAAGUCGAGCGAGAAAGCCCUUCGGGGUUAGUAAAGCGGCGAACGGGUGAGUAACACGUGGGCAAUCUGCCCCUCGCAGGGGGACAACCGGGGGAACUCCGGCUAAUACCCCGUAAGCUAUGUGGAUCGCAUGGUUCACAUAGGAAAGGUAGCUUCGGCCAUCCGGCGAGGGAUGAGCCCGCGGUACAUUAGCUAGUUGGUGGGGUAACGGCCUACCAAGGCGGCGAUGUAUAGCUGGUCUGAGAGGAUGAUCAGCCACACUGGGACUGAGACACGGCCCAGACUCCUACGGGAGGCAGCAGUCGGGAAUCUUGCACAAUGGGCGAAAGCCUGAUGCAGCAACACCGUGUGAGCGAUGAAGGCCCUAGGGUCGUAAAGCUCUGUUGUUGGGACGAAGGGCGAGGGUUAAUAGCCCCAGCUUGACGGUACCCUUCGAGGAAGCUCCGGCUAACUACGUGCCAG
rnacentral:rRNA from 1 species